rnacentral:lncRNA from 1 species
GACAGAUUUGAUUACAACAAAAGCAUCCCAAGAAUGUGUCCUGCAUGAGCUCUUCAGGCUGUGAAAUCUUGAACUUCUACACCCAUCCUUGGCUGGCUUUUUCCAUGUGAGGCCAUAUAGAGUAACUUAUGAGGUAUUACCACUGUCAUUUUCCAGAAGAAGAAAGCUGAGGCUCAGAGUGAUCAAGAAUACCCAGCCAGAACGUGGCAUCUGGGACUUCUGUCUCCACUCUGUUACCCACCAGCACCCUUGGGCCCUAUUGCUUGGCUAGAUGGGCACUCUGCAUGUAUCAGGCAUUGUCUGUCACCUGAGUCACUACAUGUAUGACAUCAUAUGUCUAUUACCAGUCUCAAAUAUACACUAAGAAAAUAAGAUUUCAUUAAAGUAUUUUCUAAAUUCA